AAUUAUGUUAUAUUUAAAGGAAAGAGUAAAAAUGGAAGAGGUACUAGUGGAUGUGGAUUGUCACUCUUACCUCCUUUAUGGGGGUGUAAAUCUCACUCCUCACUCUAAAAGUAGGUGGGAUCAUGGAGUGUGAUUUCUACUCACACCCUUAAAUAAGCAUGUAAACAUUAGAGUAGGAGGAUUCAACACUCUCCACUUCUACUCCAAUAAGUAAAUAUACCUUAAGAAUAGAGUUCUUGAUAGACAAAGUAAUGCUAUAACAUAAUCAAUUGAGGUGAGUCCCAAUAAAAUUUUAAUUUUAAAUAUG
rnacentral:lncRNA from 1 species